CACCACUCAAGCUAUGCUUGGUAUUGGGCGUCGUCCUUAGUUGGGCGCGCCUUAAAGACCUCGGCGAGGCCACUCCGGCUUUAGGCGUAGUAGAAUUUAUUCGAACGUCUGUCAAAGGAGAGGAACUCUGCCGAUUGAAACCUUUUAUUUUUCUA
rnacentral:misc_RNA from 1 species